AGUUCGCCCACCUAACUCCGAGGAAGUCUUGUCAGCUCCGUCAUCUACCAUGACCCCUCGGAGCUCACAGCCUCACACCAACCAGGACAGAAAAAAUGCUGUCCCUGCAUCCCUUGAAGUCAUUGGGACCCAGCUAUCCCGUGCAGGCUAAACUUACCUCAACCCAUCUCCAUGGAAGUCUUGUGGGCUCUGUCAUCUGCCGUGACCUCUUGCAGUCCACAGCCUCACACCAAUCAGUCAUCUACCAUGACCCCUCGGAGCUCACAGCCUCACACCAACCAGGACAGAAAAAAUGCUGUCCCUGCAUCCCUUGAAGUCAUUGGGACCCAGCUAUCCCGUGCAGGCUAAACUUACCUCAACCCAUCUCCAUGGAAGUCUUGUGGGCUCUGUCAUCUGCCGUGACCUCUUGCAGUCCACAGCCUCACACCAAUCAGACAUGAGAAAUGGUGUCCCUGAGGCCCUUGGCAUUG